rnacentral:rRNA from 1 species
UGAGUAACGCGUGAGUGACCUGCCUUUUAGACUGGAACAACUUACCGAAAGGUGAGCUAAUGCCGGAUGAGUUAUAUAAGUGCAUGUUUAUAUAGGAAAAGUUGGGGAGACCUGACGCUGAAAGAUGGACUCGCGUCCCAUUAGCUAGUUGGUAGGGUAAUGGCCUACCAAGGCGACGAUGGGUAGCCGGCCUGAGAGGGUGGCCGGCCACACUGGGACUGAGACACGGCCCAGACUCCUACGGGAGGCAGCAG